CUCCGCGCCAAGCUAAACGUUUAUCGGCAAAGUGGUGAUACUUUCUACUACCUGUUCUUCGUGUUUUCGGCGCUGUCGGAUCGCCCGGUAUAUACGCGAUUCCCUCCGCCAUUUCCCUUUUCCUGUCCUACCGUAUUUUAGCGGAUAGGGUAAGUCCCCCACCACCCACCCUUCCCGCGCCUGUCCACCGUAUUUCUUGGCGGGAAGGGACCUUGUCCUCCUCGCCGACCGGUACGCUUCUCCUCUAUCCCUCUCGUCUCAUCCGCUAUCGCACCGUUGCACUGGCGCCGAAUUUUCUUUCCUUCCUAUCGUCCGUUCGAUGUUAAAAGAAGGGUACGUCUCCUUGUACGCGUCAAACGGACCAAGUCGAAUAUAUAAAUCUGCACUUUAUACGCAGUCGUCGAGAUACUCGUAAUCGGAGAAAAAUGAAGAAACAAAGAAACAGAAAAAGGAGGAGAAUGGAGACGGAGAGGUAGAAGAAGAAGAGAUUGAGGAAGAAAUCGAAGAGGAAGAGGAAGUAGACGGUGACGGAGAGGAGGAUGACGAUGAUGAUGACAUACCUGAGGGUGAAGAAGAUUUAGAAGAAGGAGAAGAUGAAGAGGAUGACGACGCGGAAGGUGAGGUAGAAGGUGAGGUGGAAGACGAUGAAGAUGACGCAUAAUGAAAAAAGGGAAAACAUUAUGCAAUUAAGAAGGGAGGCGUUAGGCACGUGACGACAUCGUGGUCGAUUUUCGGCAAACUCAGCAAACUUACUCUCAUAUUGAGUGGUUGGUAACAAUGUUGAUAUCCAUCGUGCCCAAUCCGUAUUGGACCCUCUCUAUCUUCCGAUCGACAAGUAAAAAUUACCACCUCACCGGAAUUGUGGUGGGCCGACUACUUGUGAGUAGUUCUCUACUUGUCUUGGCUCUUCGCAAUUCUGGUCGUUUAGCCGUCACCAAAUGCUAUUAGGUAGUUUGAAUGAUAACUGUAUAUUCGUCCUGAGGAUUCGAUGAGUUGAUUUUAUCUGCUGUCUAGAUUCUUAUUUCGAUCGAUCGAUCGAUCGAUUGAUCGGUCCAUUCGGUACACGUGCACGAUUUCCCAAGACGAAUCUAUCGUUUUAUCCGAACCACCUACUAACUGGUAUUUGCCGUCAUCUGGCUUUCUUCGUCGGGACAGACAAUUUUAUAACAAGAUUACUUAUUUAAGAUAAAAAAAAAACUAUUAUAUAUUUAAAUAGUGUAAAAUGAAUAUUCGAAGAUGAUUUUUUUACAUUAAAAAUCAAAUUUACGUUUGUAGUUCGACGAAUGUCUCUCACCUUGUGUGUGUGAUAUAUUGAGUUCUUCUUCUCGAAUCGAAAUGUGUAAUUGCAGUGUCUUCACAGGAGCGCGAGGCUAUCGAGCAGAAUUGAGCGAUUAAUACGUAACAUAUACGGCAAAUAAAAUAAAUAGGCAUGAAUGGACAUCUCUCGGCAUUCAAUGUAUACUAAAAUGAGGAAAUCUUAAAAAAAAAAAAGAAAAAUAGACGUAACGCCGCUUCGUGCUCCUGUUUGGUAUAGAGACAGGAAUUAAGAUUAAAUGCAACGCUCGCGUCAAGUAGUAUGGAUGAAUAAUAUGUGACUUUAAUAUUGCAUAAUAAUUAUACAUAGUAUGUAUAAAGUUAUGGGAUAAGAAACAUUUUAUUAUUAACGAUAAUAUUAUAUAAACGUAAUAUAAUGCGGAGAGGUUGUUACACUUUAGGCUUGGGCAUAGAUAAGGGAGAGCAUCGAACAGUCAGUCAACUUUGUAAAGUGUAAGGGCCCCGUCACUCUUCUCUAUUCAUUUCAACCAAUUAUAUCAUUUUUUAUAGAAGAUAAGAGUUUCAAUUAUACACAUAGAUAAAUCUAUAUAUAUUUAUAACUCUCCAGAACUGCCGUACAUGACGCGAAAUUAUAAAAAGAAAAGAGAAUCCGGACUACAUAUUGUGAUUAUGUAAUAAGUACUCUCCCUAUUUUCGAAUGUUCUCAUUUGAGUGUAAUUCGAGCGUUUCAGUUACUUUUAUCUAUUACGAUUUUAUCUCGACUUUAUUGUGGGCUAUUUUGGCAAUGAUUCGUGGACUGUUGUAAAAUGAGUCAGCGGUAUUUAUUUAUUCUCGUAUAUAAUUUGUCCGUAUAUAAUUUAUAUAUAGUCCACGUUUCGAUAUCUUAAUAAUGACAUAUACACCAGAUUUGCUAAUGGUGUCUAAAAAUUUUUAAUAGUGUUGAUACUGAUGAUAAUGUUGAUUUGCUGAUUCGAUAACUCCGAUUCGAAACAAGAAGAUCGCUCUUUGUGCAAAAGUCGGUGAAUCAUUGCGAUUGGCAUGUCCAUGCCGCUACUUAUUUUCGGGAGACUGUUAGAUAAAAGGGUGAAGAGACAUUGCGGUUAUACCAUUGUACCAUAGCAUAAUAAUUAAAUAAAGGUAACGAUAAUUUGAAUGCGAGAAGAUGUCCCACGUUUUAAUGUACAAAUAUUUUCGAAUGAGAAUAGUUAAAUAAAACGCAGUUAGAUCAGAGAAAAUGAAUUCGUUCUCAUAAGUAGUGAUGAGUUUAAUAUCUGAAAAACUAUGAGGAGACGAGCGGUGUAAAUGCUGCUCUGAUACCACACGGACUAAAAAUCCUGCUGUAUGGAAACCAAGGAGAUGGAGGUUGGAUCGUGUAACGUUGAUACUUACAAAAAAAAUCUCUUACCAUCGGCAGAUUCGAUGGUGCGAAAGAAGAAAAUUCGCGAAUACUCCUCAUCAUAAGUGUAUGUAACGCGUCCAACAAAGCCGAUCGAUGUCAAUGUGAUGCGUACAGAUCAUACCAUCUCCGGCAGUCUCUGUUAAUCUACGGUUUUAUACGCAAUCUGCUGCUGUAUUUACACGUGUUUGCUUCAAGAUAGUAACUUGACGAUGACAAAUUGGCAAAGGACUAUCUUUAAGUACAGGUGCCUGAGCAAAAUCAGUACUUUAGCGUUCAUAGUAUAUACUAUACUAUACAUACUAUAAGCAUAGACCCAUUUAAUUUUAUUAAAUAAAACGCCAAGCCCCGUUGGCAACACACGCAUCCUGAACAAAACAAAAUAAAAAAAAGAAAAAGACUUGCGUUUUGUACUGUGUCAAGCCCGGCAGAGUACGGUACUCUUCUUCGCGCUCGAGUACUCGACGCGAUUCGCGAAAUUCACUUACUGGUGCUAACGGGUCUUACAAUCAAUCAGGCUGAUCGCCCACGUAUACCGUUACACCCCUACGUUUGUUAGGUAAGCAUGGAAAGAAAAAGUUCAACAGACAUCAAAUCUGGUAAAUGACACACACGUGUGUGUGAGUGUGUGUGCGCGUGUGUGUGUGUCACACGAUUUAACGUAAACGAAAAUCCUAGGCUAAGAAUUUGGUUUGUGUGUUCAUAAGUCUUGUUCAAGCUACUUUUGUACAGGAUACCAUUGCAUCAUCUCUUUCAACGUAUAACAAGUAACCGACACACCACAGACUAUAUAUUUCUGCCCAUUCCAUCAGAACUGAAACUUUCAUUGUAUUUUUAAGUAAAUACAUUUUGGAAAACAA